rnacentral:rRNA from 1 species
UACGGAAGGCAGCAGUGGGGAAUAUUGCACAAUGGGCGCAAGCCUGAUGCAGCCAUGCCGCGUGUAUGAAGAAGGCCUUCGGGUUGUAAAGUACUUUCAGUCGUGAGGAAGGUGUUAAGGUUAAUAACCUUAGCAAUUGACGUUAGCGACAGAAGAAGCACCGGCUAACUCCGUGCCAGCAGCCGCGGUAAUACGGAGGGUGCGAGCGUUAAUCGGAAUUACUGGGCGUAAAGGGCACGCAGGCGGUUAAUUAAGUUGGAUGUGAAAUCCCCGGGCUUAACCUGGGAAUGGCAUUCAAGACUGGUUAGCUAGAGUCUUGUAGAGGGGGUAGAAUUCCAUGUGUAGCGGUGAAAUGCGUAGAGAUGUGGAGGAAUACCGGUGGCGAAAGGCGGCCCCUGGACAAAGGACUGACGCUCAUGUGCGAAAGCGUGGGGAGCAAACAGGGAUUAGAUAC